rnacentral:rRNA from 1 species
CCUACGGGUGGCAGCAGUGAGGAAUAUUGGUCAAUGGACGAGAGUCUGAACCAGCCAAGUAGCGUGAAGGAUGACUGCCCUAUGGGUUGUAAACUUCUUUUAUAUGGAAAUAAAAUGUUCCACGUGUGGGAUUUUGUAUGUACCAUUUGAUUAAGGAUCGGCUAACUCCGUGCCAGCAGCCGCGGUUAUACGGAGGCUCCGAGCGUUAUCCGGAUUUCUUGGGUUUAAAGGGCGCGUAGGUGGAUUGUUAAGUCAGUUGUGAAAGUUUGCGGCUCAAACGUAAAAUUGCAGUUGAAACUGGCAGUCUUGAGUACAGUAGAGGUGGGCGGAAUUCGUGGUGUAGCGGUGAAAUGCUUAGAUAUCACGAAGAACUCCGAUUGCGAAGGGAGCUCACUGGACUGCAACUGACACUGAGGCUCGAAAGUGUGGGGAUCAAACAGGAUUAGAUAUCCUGGUAGUC